UACGUAGGGUGCGAGCGUUGUCCGGAAUUAUUGGGCGUAAAGAGCUCGUAGGCGAUCUGUCGCGUCGAUCGUGAAAACUUGGGGCUUAACCCUGAGCUUGCGGUCGAUACGGGCUAGCUAGAGUGUGGUAGGGGAGAUCGGAAUUCCUGGUGUAGCGGUGAAAUGCGCAGAUAUCAGGAGGAACACCGGUGGCGAAGGCGGAUCUCUGGGCCAUUACUGACGCUGAGGAGCGAAAGCGUGGGGAGCGAACAGG
rnacentral:rRNA from 1 species